UACGUAGGGCGCAAGCGUUGUCCGGAAUUAUUGGGCGUAAAGAGCUCGUAGGCGGUUUGUCGCGUCUGCUGUGAAAACCUGAGGCUCAACCUCGGGCUUGCAGUGGGUACGGGCAGACUAGAGUGCGGUAGGGGUGACUGGAAUUCCUGGUGUAGCGGUGGAAUGCGCAGAUAUCAGGAGGAACACCGAUGGCGAAGGCAGGUCACUGGGCCGCAACUGACGCUGAGGUGCGAAAGCGUGGGGAGCAAACAGG
rnacentral:rRNA from 1 species